rnacentral:rRNA from 1 species
GAUGAACGCUGGCGGCGUGCCUAAUACAUGCAAGUCGAGCGAACAGACGAUGAGCUUGCUCCUCUGACGUUAGCGGCGGACGGGUGAGUAACACGUGGAUAACCUACCUAUAAGACUGGGAUAACUUCGUGAAACCGGAGCUAAUACCGGAUAAUAUAUUGAACCGCAUGGUUCAAUAGUUCAAGACGGUUUUGCUGUCACUUAUAGAUGGAUCCGCGCCGAAUUAGCUAGUUGGUAAGGUAACGGCUUACCAAGGCAACGAUGCGUAGCCGACCUGAGAGGGUGAUCGGCCACACUGGAACUGAGACACGGUCCAGACUCCUACGGGAGGCAGCAGUAGGGAAUCUUGCGCAAUGGGCGAAAGCCUGACGGAGCAACGCCGCGUGAGUGAUGAAGGUCUUCGGAUCGUAAAACUCUGUUAUUAGGGAAGAACAAAUGUGUAAGUAACUAUGCACGUCUUGACGGUACCUAAUCAGAAAGCCACGGCUAACUACGUG